rnacentral:rRNA from 1 species
CGUGGGUGACCUGCCUUCGAGUGGGGGAUAACGUCCCGAAAGGGACGCUAAUACCGCAUGACAUCCUGCUUUUGGACAAGCGGAGAUCAAAGCUGGGGAUCGCAAGACCUAGCGCUGGAAGAGGGGCCCGCGCCUGAUUAGCUAGUUGGUGGGGUAACGGCUCACCAAGGCGACGAUCAGUAUCCGGCCUGAGAGGGCGGACGGACACACUGGGACUGAGACACGGCCCAGACUCCUACGGGAGGCAGCAGUGGGGAAUUGUUCGCAAUGGGCGCAAGCCUGACGACGCAACGCCGCGUGGAGGAUGAAGAUUUUCGGAUCGUAAACUCCUGUCGAGUGGGAAGAACCGCUUUUGGGUGAACAGCCUGGAGGCCUGACGGU